rnacentral:rRNA from 1 species
GCAACCCCCGGUAGCGUGGCAGACGGGUGAGUAACGCGUGGGCAACCUGCCCGGAGGUGGGGGAUAACCCUUCGAAAGGAGGGCUAAUACCGCAUGACACCCCGGGGUCCUCGGACCCUGGGUUCAAAGCUGGCCUCUGUUUACAAGCCAGCGCCACCGGAUGGGCCCGCGUCCCAUUAGCUAGUUGGUGAGGUAACGGCCCACCAAGGCUACGAUGGGUAGCCGGCCUGAGAGGGCGAUCGGCCACACUGGAACUGAGACACGGUCCAGACUCCUACGGGAGGCAGCAGUGAGGAAUCUUGCGCAAUGGGCGAAAGCCUGACGCAGCGACGCCGCGUGGAGGAUGAAGGCCUUCGGGUCGUAAACUCCUGUCGAGCGGGACGAAUGCCGGCGAGGUUAACAGCCUCGCCGGUUGACGGUACCGCUGGAGGAAGCCCCGGCUAACUCCGUGCCAGCAGCCGCGGUAAUACGGAGGGGGCCAGCGUUGUUCGGAAUUAUUGGGCGUAAAGGGCGCGUAGGCGGCUGCUCAAGUCGGACGUGAAAUCCCUCGGCUCAACCGGGGAACUGCGUCCGAUACUGUGCGGCUUGAGUCCCGGAGAGGGUAGUGGAAUUCCCAGUGUAGCGGUGAAAUGCGUAGAUACUGGGAAGAACACCGGUGGCGAAGGCGGCUACCUGGACGGCUACUGACGCUGAUGCGCGAAAGCCAGGGGAGCAAACAGGAUUAGAUACCCUGGUAGUCCUGGCUGUAAACGAUGGGCACUUG